rnacentral:rRNA from 1 species
UACGUAGGGGGCUAGCGUUGUCCGGAUUUAUUGGGCGUAAAGAGCGUGUAGGCGGCCAUGUAGGUCCGGUGUGAAAACUCGAGGCUUAACCUCGAGAUGUCAUCGGAAACCAUUUGGCUAGAGUCCGGAAGAGGAGAGUGGAAUUCCUGGUGUAGCGGUGAAAUGCGCAGAUAUCAGGAAGAACACCAAUGGCGAAAGCAGCUCUCUGGGACGGUACUGACGCUGAGACGCGAAAGCUAGGGGAGCAAACGGG